rnacentral:rRNA from 1 species
UACCAGCACCCCGAGUGGUCGGGACGUUUAUUGGGCCUAAAGCAUCCGUAGCCGGUUCUACAAGUCUUCCGUUAAAUCCAACUGCUUAACAGGUGGGCUGCGGAAGAUACUAUAGAGCUAGGAGGCGGGAGAGGCAAGCGGUACUCGAUGGGUAGGGGUAAAAUCCGUUGAUCCAUUGAAGGCUACCAGUGGCGAAGGCGGCUUGCCCGAACGCGCUCGACGGUGAGGGAUGAAAGCUGGGGGAGCAAACCGG